rnacentral:rRNA from 1 species
GACGAACGCUGGCGGCGUGCUUAACACAUGCAAGUCGAGCGGUAAGGCCCUUUCGGGGGUACACGAGCGGCGAACGGGUGAGUAACACGUGGGUGACCUGCCCUCAGCUCUGGGAUAAGCCUGGGAAACCGGGUCUAAUACUGGAUAUGACUCCAUGACGCAUGUUGUGGGGUGGAAAGCCUUGUGCGGCUGAGGAUGGGCCCGCGGCCUAUCAGCUUGUUGGUGGGGUGAUGGCCCACCAAGGCGACGACGGGUAGCCGGCCUGAGAGGGCGACCGGCCACACUGGGACUGAGACACGGCCCAGACUCCUACGGGAGGCAGCAGUGGGGAAUCUUGCGCAAUGGGCGAAAGCCUGACGCAGCGACGCCGCGUGAGGGAUGACGGCCU